rnacentral:rRNA from 1 species
CCUUCCUACGGGACGCAGCAGUGGGGAAUAUUGGGCAAUGGGCGCAAGCCUGACCCAGCAACGCCGCGUGAAGGAAGAAGGCUUUCGGGUUGUAAACUUCUUUUAAGAGGGAAGAGCAGAAGACGGUACCUCUUGAAUAAGCCACGGCUAACUACGUGCCAGCAGCCGCGGUAAUACGUAGGUGGCAUGCGUUGUCCGGAUUUACUGGGUGUAAAGGGCGUGCAGCCGGGAAGACAAGUCAGAUGUGAAGUCCCGCGGCUCAACCGCGGAACUGCAUUUGAAACUGUUUUUCUUUGGUACCGGAG